rnacentral:rRNA from 1 species
AUUGAACGCUGGCGGCAGGCCUAACACAUGCAAGUCGAACGAGUGGCGGACGGGUGAGUAAUGUCUGGGAAACUGCCUGAUGGAGGGGGAUAACUACUGGAAACGGUAGCUAAUACCGCAUACCAUCGGAUGUACCCAGAUGGGAUUAGCUGGUUGGUGGGGUAAAGGCUCACCUAGGCGACGAUCCCUAGCUGGUCUGAGAGGAUGAUCAGCCACACUGGGACUGAGACACGGCCCAGACUCCUACGGGAGGCAGCAGUGGGGAAUAUUGCACAAUGGGCGCAAGCCUGAUGCAGCCAUGCCGCGUGUAUGAAGAAGGCCUUCGGGUUGUAAAGUACUUUCAGUUGGGAGGCGUUACCCGCAGAAUAAGCACCGGCUAACUCCGUGCCAGCCGCCGCGGUAAUAC